GCGGAAACUUAAUCCAAAUUUGUCGGACAUCUCAUUCUGUGCUGGAAACACUGGGAGGCAGGAAGUUUGAAAAAACGGCCACUGCCGCCCGCAAUGUCUCGGUCGUGGGCUGGUCGUGGGUUCGUUAUGCCAGUUGUGCGUCAUUCUAAGCCGUUCUGUACAUUUAUACUGGAUAUUAAUUGGAGUCAUUUAGCUGUGCUGAUGCUGUUUGCCGUGUGUUUUGCAUCAGUGCUUCGUGACAUCGGCUGUAUUGCGUGUUUUCGCCGACGGCUUACUACCACAAUGGCGGGAUCUGCGUUCGCCGCCUUCGUGUCUCGGUGCGUCUUUGUACGUCGCACGUUCGGAUAACACUUUUUGCGACUGCUGGACAUCCUUCUUGUACCUUGGCGCUAGCUGGAUGACGGGACCUCAUCAUGAUCAGUGUAUUGCUUGCCUAUGUCUACAAGAACCGUCACGCGUGGCCUGUGACAGCAAGCUUUUGUGGGCAGCAAGUGCUCUCCUACGAAGGCUGGCCUACUCUGGCAGCGGCGGCAAUCAUCUUCAAGAUUUAUCCAUAAUCACCUUUGCUGCUUUUUGUCACUCUUGUUGAUUACACUUUCUGCGUCUUUUCUAAUUUAUUAGGUAAUAAAGUAUGAGUAUGUGA